rnacentral:rRNA from 1 species
CCUACGGGGGGCAGCAGUGGGGGAUAUUGCACAAUGGGGGGAACCCUGAUGCAGCGACGCCGCGUGGGUGAAGGAGUGCUUCGGCAUGUAAAGCCCUAUCGGCAGGGAAGAAGCAAGACGGUACCUGACUAAGAAGCCCCGGCUAACUACGUGCCAGCAGCCGCGGUAAUACGUAGGGGGCGAGCGUUUUCCGGAUUCACUGGGUGUAAAGGGAGCGUAGACGGCCAUGCAAGCCAGAGGUGAAAGCCCGGGGCCCAACCCCGGGACUGUCCUUGAAACUGCAUGGCUGGAGUGCGGGAGAGGCAGACGGAAUUCCUGGUGUAGCGGUGAAAUGCGUAGAUAUUAGGAGGAACACCAGUGGCGAAGGCGGUCUGCUGGACAGCAACUGACGCUGAGGCGCGAAAGCGUGGGGAGCAAACAGGAUUAGAUACCCCGGUAGUC